AUGUUCACUGUUAUAUUCAUGUGUCUGUGGCUUUCACUCGGUGACUCCAUGGCAGCUUCAAUCAAGCCACUUUUUACUCAUACAAUUAUAGAUGAAGGCAGUGAUGUAACUCUGUCCUGCAACUACGAAGCAAGUGGUAAAGGAAACUACCUGCACUGGUACAGACAAAAUCCAAAAUCUAAACCUGACUUCCUUCUUUAUAUAUCACAAAGUGGAUAUAAAAGUGACUCAAUCCCACCACGUCUCUCUGCUGAAGUUGAUGAAAAGAAUAACCAAGUGGAUCUGCUCAUCUCCUCUGCUGCUGUAUCAGACUCUGCGCUAUACGACUGUGCUCUGCGGCCCACACAGCGGCGAGAUCAGGAUCCCAGCAGCGACUCUGACACAGCGGUUAUUCCUGCAGCACCGCUGGGUUUAUUCCCCACCGGCAGCAAUGAACUCUCAGUUUUCCUUUUCACUUCAACAACAAGCGCUUUAAACACCUCAUUAUUACAAAAAGGGUCAAAAAUAGCAGUGAACAGGCGGAAACGCUCUCAGGAAUAG